rnacentral:tRNA from 2 species
GGGGCAAUAGCUCAGUUGGGAGAGCGCUUGCAUGGCAUGCAAGAGGUCGACGGUUCGAUUCCGUUUUGCUCCACCA